CAGUCGCCACGGUAAUACGAAGGGUGCAAGCGUUGAUCGGAAUUACUGGGCGUAAAGCGUGCGUAGGCGGUGAGUUAAGUCUGCUGUGAAAUCCCCGGGCUCAACCUGGGAAUGGCAGUGGAUACUGGCUCGCUAGAGUGUGUCAGAGGAUGGUGGAAUUCCCGGUGUAGCGGUGAAAUGCGUAGAGAUCGGGAGGAACAUCAGUGGCGAAGGCGGCCAUCUGGGACAACACUGACGCUGAGGCACGAAAGCGUGGGGAGCAAACAGGAUUAGAUACCCCAGUAGUCCCUGUCUCUUAUAC
rnacentral:rRNA from 1 species